rnacentral:rRNA from 1 species
CCUACGGGAGGCAGCAGUGAGGAAUAUUGGUCAAUGGACGAGAGUCUGAACCAGCCAAGUAGCGUGAAGGAUGACUGCCCUAUGGGUUGUAAACUUCUUUUAUAUGGGAAUAAAAUGUUCCACGUGUGGGAUUUUGUAUGUACCAUAUGAAUAAGGAUCGGCUAACUCCGUGCCAGCAGCCGCGGUAAUACGGAGGAUCCGAGCGUUAUCCGGAUUUAUUGGGUUUAAAGGGAGCGUAGGUGGAUUGUUAAGUCAGUUGUGAAAGUUUGCGGCUCAACCGUAAAAUUGCAGUUGAAACUGGCAGUCUUGAGGACAGUAGAGGUGGGGGGAAUUCGUGGUGUAGCGGUGAAAUGCUUAGAUAGCACGAAGAACUCCGAUUGCGAAGGCAGUUCACUGGACUGCAACUGACACUGAGGCUCGAAAGUGUGGGUAUCAAACAGGAUUAGAUACCCGGGUAGUC